GGGGAAUCUUCCGCAAUGGACGAAAGUCUGACGGAGCAACGCCGCGUGAGUGAUGACGGCCUUCGGGUUGUAAAGCUCUGUUAAUCGGGACGAAUGGUUCUUGUGCGAAUAGUGCGAGGAUUUGACGGUACCGGAAUAGAAAGCCACGGCUAACUACGUGCCAGCAGCCGCGGUAAUACGUAGGUGGCAAGCGUUGUCCGGAAUUAUUGGGCGUAAAGCGCGCGCAGGCGGAUUGGUCAGUCUGUCUUAAAAGUUCGGGGCUUAACCCCGUGAUGGGAUGGAAACUACCAAUCUAGAGUAUCGGAGAGGAAAGUGGAAUUCCUAGUGUAGCGGUGAAAUGCGUAGAUAUUAGGAAGAACACCAGUGGCGAAGGCGACUUUCUGGACGAAAACUGACGCUGAGGCGCGAAAGCCAGGGGAGCGAACGGGAUUAGAUACCCCGGUAGUCCUGGCCGUAAACGAUGGGUACUAGGUGUAGGAGGUAUCGACCCCUUCUGUGCCGGAGUUAACGCAAUAAGUACCCCGCCUGGGGAGUACGACCGCAAGGUUG
rnacentral:rRNA from 1 species